UACGUAGGGCGCAAGCGUUGUCCGGAAUUAUUGGGCGUAAAGAGCUCGUAGGCGGUCUGUUACGUCCGCUGUGAAAACCCGGGGCUUAACCCUGGGCUUGCAGUGGAUACGGGUAGACUAGAGGCAGGUAGGGGAGAAUGGAAUUCCCGGUGUAGCGGUGAAAUGCGCAGAUAUCGGGAGGAACACCGGUGGCGAAGGCGGUUCUCUGGGCCUGACCUGACGCUGAGGAGCGAAAGCGUGGGGAGCGAACAGG
rnacentral:rRNA from 1 species